AUCCAGCUGACAAGUCCUAUAUAGAGCGAAACGCGCGUCCUGGAU
rnacentral:hammerhead_ribozyme from 1 species